rnacentral:rRNA from 1 species
GACGAACGCUGGCGGCGUGCUUAACACAUGCAAGUCGAACGGAAAGGCCCUGCUUUUGUGGGGUGCUCGAGUGGCGAACGGGUGAGUAACACGUGAGUAACCUGCCCUUGACUUUGGGAUAACUUCAGGAAACUGGGGCUAAUACCGGAUAGGAGCUCCUGCUGCAUGGUGGGGGUUGGAAAGUUUCGGCGGUUGGGGAUGGACUCGCGGCUUAUCAGCUUGUUGGUGGGGUAGUGGCUUACCAAGGCUUUGACGGGUAGCCGGCCUGAGAGGGUGACCGGCCACAUUGGGACUGAGAUACGGCCCAGACUCCUACGGGAGGCAGCAGUGGGGAAUAUUGCACAAUGGGCGGAAGCCUGAUGCAGCAACGCCGCGUGCGGGAUGACGGCCUUCGGGUUGUAAACCGCUUUCGCCUGUGACGAAGUGUGAGUGACGGUAAUAGGUAAAGAAGCACCGGCUAACUACGUG